GGAACUACAGUGGAGAGAGACGUCAUGGUCUAGGAGGUUGAUUCAGCAGAAAUUGGGUGAUGUCUUGUUGCGCGAAAGCGUGUGAAAGAGUAAAAUUAUUGUACUGAAAAAUCACACUAAGUUCAAUUCCCAGGAAAGAGAGGUGGAUCACGAGGAUCGCUUACAUACCAGAUCUUUCCUAGCCAGAAUAUCCCUCUAUCGUAAUUUAAUAGCACAAUAAAUUACUACAAUGACACUUGCAAAAUAUGCAGAACAAAAAAAUAAAGAACACUAGAAUUUUAACGAGGUUCAGCAAAUUUUGCCUACGUCCUCGGGCACUACCAAAUAUAUUUCACUCCAAAAAUACAAGUGAAAGUUUACAAAUAGGGAGAGAGAACAAUUGCCUUAAGUAGAGAAUGGCAAGUGUGGGAUGAAGAAAGUAAGAAAUGGUUAGGCCUAUUUAUAGUUGAGGUUUAAGGAUCAACUUGCAAUGUCCCUAUACAAUUAGGGACCAAAAUUGCAAUUAUCCCAUGCCAACUUUUAACCCAACUUGCCAACCAAUCUUACUUUCUACUUUCGGUGCCCACCCUUUUUGACUUUUCAAACAAUGUGGGUGGGUUCCAAUAAUCUCCACCUUGAAGAUUUGAUUAGGAUAAUCUUAUCUUCACACAAUUCUUUCUGCCUUUGACAACAAUACUUGAUAGUGCCUUCUUCAACUGUUAAACUUGCAGGAUAUUAAUCAAGUUCAAACAAUGUUCGAACUUGGUUGCUGUUACCACCUUGGUCAUCAUAUCUGCGGGAUUAUCUGCAGUCUUGAUCUUCUGAAGACAAAUUUUCCCCUCUUCAAUAAUUUCCCGCACAAAAUGGAAUCGUACGUCGAUAUGUUUUGUACGUGCAUGAUAGACUUGAUUCUUUGCUAAAUGAAUAGCACUUUGACUAUCACAAUACACGUUAAUAUGCUCCUGAACCAACCCCAAGGUUUUAGCCAUACCUUGUAACCAAAUAGCCUCCUUUACAGCCUCUGUUACAGCCAUGUACUCGGCUUCUAUGGUUGACAAUGCAACUGUAGACUGUAGUGUAGACUUCUAACUUAUUGGUCCUCCAGCAAGUGUAAACACAUAACCGGUGGUUGAUCUUCGCUUGUCCAAAUCACCGGCAUAGUCAAAAUCAACGUACCCAAUAACACCUUUACCAAGUGUAUUAUCCUGCUUGAACAGUAAUCCAACAUCCACGGUCUUCUGAAUAUACCGUAGAAUCCAUUUCACAGCUUGCCAAUGUCCUUUUCCAGGAUUAUGCAUAUACCUGCUCACUAUACUAACUGCCUGUGAAAUGUCGGGUCUUGUAUACACCAUUGCAUACAUCAAGCUACCCACUGCAUUAGAAUACGGAACUUGCAACAUGUAUUCUCGUUCCGUAUUCGUCGAAGGAGAUAGUUGUGCAGAAAGCUUGAAAUGAGAAGCCAACGGGGUACUUACAGGUUUUGUCUGCUCGUUCAUGCCAAACUACUGUAGUACCUUUUUCAAAUACUGCUUCUGAGACAAGCUAACUCUAUCAUGAGCUCUAUCUCUCCAUAUUUCCAUGCCGAGAAUCUUUUUAGCUUCUCCUAGAUCUUUCAUCUCAAACUCGAGAUUGAGUUGAGUCUUCAAUCUUUCAAUCUCAACUUUGCUCUUAGAUGCUAUUAGCAUAUCAUCAACAUAUAAGAGCAAGUAUAUGAAAGUUCCUUCUUGUAGCUUCUGAAAAUACACGCAAUGACCAAAUUUACUUCUUGUGUACCUUUGCCCUUUCAUGAACUGAUCAAAUCGCUUGUACCACUGCCUCAGAGAUUGUUUCAAUCCAUAAAGCGACUUUGUCAGUUUGCAAACCCAAUUUUCUUUUCCAGCAACCUUGAAUCCAUCUGGCUGAGUCAUAUAGAUUUCCUCUUCCAAAUCACCGUGUAAAAACGCGGUCUUCACAUCAAGCUGAACUAGUUCAAGAUCAUAUUGCGCAACCAAGGCUAGCAAAAUCCGAAUAGACGAAUGCUUCACAACUGGAGAAAACACUUUAUUGUAGUCUAUUCCUUCUUUCUGAGCGUAACCCUUUGCUACUAAUCUAGCCUUGUAUCGAAUUUCAUUUUUAUCAGGAAAUCCUUCCUUCUUUGCAUAUACCCAUUUGCAUCCAAUUGCCUUCUUUCCCUUGGGUAGUGUCACCAACUCCCAGGUCUUAUUUUUAUGAAGAGACUGCAUUUCUUCAUUCAUUGCUUGCUUCCACUUUACACCAUCAGGGUUACUUAUUACUUCUGUGUAAGUAGAAGGAACAUCAUCAUCUGUAAUUGGAAGUGCAUAGGCCACUAUAUCAUCAAAGCAAGCAGGCUUACGAAUCUUUCUUCUUGGCCUUCUAUAUGCAAUUGAAUCUUGUUGCUGUAGAGGUUCUUGGGUAGGAACCUCUUCAUCAUUUGUCCCUUCAAUAUUAGCUGGAUCAUCGUUAACCUUUUCAAGCUCCACCUGCUGCAAAGUACUACUGGUUUUGUCAUCCUUUUGUGAAUCCUUGUACUUCAACAUGGUUGAUUCAUCAAAAGUCACAUCUCUACUGAAAACAAUCUUCCUUGUAUCAGGACACCAGAGACGAUAUCCUUUUACUCCAUCAGUUAUACCCAAGAAUAAUGCUUUCUUUGCUCUUGGGUCUAACUUAGAUUCUUUUACAUGAUAAUAUGCAGUGGAACCAAAUACAUGCAAAGAAUCAUAAUCAGUAGCAGAUUUACCAGUCCACAUCUCCAUAGGAGUUUUUCCAUUUAUUGCAGCUGAUGGCAAACGGUUAAUUAGAUGGCACGCAUAUGUAACUGCCUCAGCCCAAAAUUCUUUGCCCAAUCCAGCAUUGGACAACAUACAUCGAACUUUCUCCAGUAUAGUUCGAUUCAUUCGUUCUGCCACCCCAUUUUGCUGUGGUGUAUCCCGAACAGUGAAGUGUCGCACAAUGCCCUCAUCUUGGCAUACUUGUAGAAAUGGAUCGUUUUUGUACUCAGUACCAUUAUCUGAUCGAAGUCGUUUGACCUUUCGACCAGUCUGAGUCUCCACCAUCUUCUUCCAUUUCAGAAAUGCAUCCAAAAUUUCACUUUUUCUUUUCAUUAGAUACACCCAUACUUUUCUUGAAUAAUCAUCAACAAAAGUAACAAAAUAGUGCAUACCUCCCAAAGAAGCUACUUUGGUAGGUCCCCACACAUCACUGUGAACGUAGUCCAGAAUUCCUUUCGUAUUGUGAAUUGCUGGACCAAAUUUUACCCUCUUCUACUUGCCCAGAACACAAUGUUCACAGAAUUCCAUUUUGCAAGAAUUUGCACCUUUCAAUAAGCCUUGCUUCACCAAUGUCUGCAAAGCUUUUUCACCAGCAUGUCCCAAUCGCAUAUGCCAUAAUCUGGUAGCCUCUGAAUCUACAUCUUUUGUAGAAACUGUUGAUGUUGAUCCAAUAACUGUACUUCUAUUUAAAAAAUACAAGUUAUUUCUUCUUGUGCCUUUCAUCACCGUCAGUUGCCCAGCUACUACUUUUAGUAAUCCAUCUCUCAAAGUGAUUGUGAGCCCUUUAGAUUCUAGGGCACCUAAUGAGAUGAGAUUUUUCUUCAAGCUAGGUACGUAAGCGAACAUCUGUCAAGACUUGGAUUGAGCCGUCGUGAUUCUUCAAUUGGACUGUACCCACUCCCAUUGUCUUACAAGCACUAUCAUUGCCCAUAAGAACAAUUCCACCUUCUAGCUCUUUAAGACUAGAAAACCAGUCCUUAUUAGGACACAUAUGGUAAGUACAUCCUGAAUCCAAAAUCCACUCAUCCGUUUGACAUGCCAUUGCCAUGCCAACCAAGCUAAAGUCUGACUCCUCAUCAUGCUCCGCUACACAUGCAUUAGAAAUAGCCUUGCCCUUUUGUAGCUUAGGACAAUUCUUUUUCCAAUACCCUUUUUCACGGCAAAAGGCACAUUCAUCUUUGGCGGGUCUCCCUUUGGACUUUCCCCUCCUACCAGAUUUGCUGCUGUGUGAACGACCUCUUACUGUUAAGACUUCUGCGGUUGUAUCUCUGUGAUCUCUUUUAUCUAUCUUUCGAGUCUCAGAUCUAUACAACGCACUACAGACUGCAUCAAAUGUGAUCGUGUCCUUCCCAUGAAGCAAUGUGGUGGUAAGAUGAUCAUAUUCAUCAGGAAGGGAAUUCAACAACAAUAAUGCCUUGUCUUCAUCUUCAAAUUUCUCAUCCAAAUUUAGCAAGUCUGCUAAAAUUUUAUUGAAUGAGUUCACAUGGUCAUUCAUCGACAUACCGGGUGCAUACGUGAAUCGAUAAAGUUUCUUUUUCAUAUAAAGCCUAUUUUCAAGACUUUUCGUUAGAAACUUUUCUUCCAGUGUAUCCCAUAACUUCUUCGCUGAUGUCUCCCUCAUGACAGAGUACUUCUGCUCUUUGGCCAAACAUAGGCGGAUUGUACCACACGCCUGUCUAUUGAUCUUGGCCCACUCCUUGUCAUCCAUCUUGUCAGGUUUUUCUUCAAGGGCUAUAUCUAGCUCUUGCUGACAUAAGACAUCCAGGAUCUCACAUUGCCACAUACCAAAAUUAUUGGUACCGUCAAAUUUCUCUACUUCAAAUUUUGCAUUUGUCACAAUAGUCCUUGCUGAUGACGAUGCUGCUGCCAUUUUUCUCCUCAAUCCCAACUACUGUAUACGUGAAUAGUACCGUAUACGUGAAUAGUGCUGUAUACGUGAAUAGUACCAUAUACGUGAAUAGUAUUGUAUACGUGAAUAGUAUCGUAAACGGUCGUAUUCCCUAAGUACGAACCUGGCUCUGGUACCAAUUGUUGCGCGGAAGCGUGUGAAAGAGUAAAAUUAUUGUACUGAAAAAUCACACUAAGUUCAAUUCCCAGGAAAGAGAUGUGGAUCACGAGGAUCGCUUACAUACCAGAUCUUUCCUAGCCAGAAUAUCCCUCUAUCGUAAUUUAAUAGCACAAUAAAUUACUACAAUGACACUUGCAAAAUAUGCAGAACAAAAAAAAUAAAGAACACUAGAAUUUUAACGAGGUUCAGCAAAUUUUGCCUACGUCCUCGGGCACUACCAAAUAUAUUUCACUCCAAAAAUACAAGUGAAAGUUUACAAAUAGGGAGAGAGAACAAUUGCCUUAAGUAGAGAAUGGCAAGUGUGGGAUGAAGAAAGUAAGAAAUGGUUAGGCCUAUUUAUAGUUGAGGUUUAAGGAUCAACUUGCAAUGUCCCUAUACAAUUAGGGACCAAAAUUGCAAUUAUCCCAUGCCAACUUUUAAC
rnacentral:lncRNA from 1 species